rnacentral:rRNA from 1 species
UACAGAGGUCCCAAGCGUUGUUCGGAUUCACUGGGCGUAAAGGGUGCGUAGGCGGUCGGGUAAGUCUGAUGUGAAAUCUCACAGCUUAACUGUGAAACUGCAUUGGAUACUAUCCGGCUAGAGGAAUGGAGGGGAGACUGGAAUACUUGGUGUAGCAGUGAAAUGCGUAGAUAUCAAGUGGAACACCAGUGGCGAAGGCGAGUCUCUGGACAUUUCCUGACGCUGAGGCACGAAAGCGUGGGGAGCAAAAGGG